rnacentral:rRNA from 1 species
UGCCAGCCGCCGCGGUAAUACGGAGGGUGCGAGCGUUAAUCGGAAUUACUGGGCGUAAAGCGCAUGCAGGCGGACUAUUAAGUUGGAUAUAAAAGACCGGGGCUCAACCUCGUGUUUGUGUCCAAAACUGGUAGUCUAGAAUUAGGGAGAGGUAAGUGGAAUUCUGUGUGUAGGGGUGCAAUCCGUAGAUACACAGAGGAACACCAAAAGCGAAGGCAACUUACUGGAACUAUAUUGACGCUGAUGAACGAAAGCGUGGGUAGCGAAAAGGAUUAGAUA